rnacentral:rRNA from 1 species
CCUUGCGUAGCCGUUGAGGCGAAUUCAGUGAUCCUAUGCUGCCAAGAAAAGCCUCUAGUGAGUUGGUACACGGCCCGUACCCCAAACCGACACAGGUGGUCAGGUAGAGAAUACUAAGGCGAUCGAGUGAACUGUGGUUAAGGAACUCGGCAAAUUACCCCCGUAACUUCGGGAGAAGGGGGACCACGAUUGGUGAUGGGCUUUACGCUCGGAGCUGGUGGUGGUCGCAGAGACCAGAGAGAAGCGACUGUUUACUAAAAACACAGGUCCGUGCGAAGUCGUAAGACGAUGUAUACGGACUGACGCCUGCCCGGUGCUGGAAGGUUAAGAGGACCGGUUAAUCAACUUUGUUGGUGAAGCUGAGAAUUUAAGCCCCAGUAAACGGCGGUGGUAACUAUAACCAUCCUAAGGUAGCGAAAUUCCUUGUCGGGUAAGUUCCGACCUGCACGAAUGGCGUAACGACUUCUCUGCUGUCUCAACCACAGGCUCGGCGAAAUUGCAGUACGAGUAAAGAUGCUCGUUACGCGCGGCAGGACGAAAAGACCCCGGGACCUUCACUAUAGCUUGGUAUUGGUGUUCGGUGCGGUUUGUGUAGGAUAGGUGGGAGACUGUGAAGCUGGCACGCUAGUGUUGGUGGAGUCGUUGUUGAAAUACCACUCUGAUCGUAUUGGGCUUCUAACCUCGGACCAUGAUCUGGUUCAGGGACAGUGCCUGGUGGGUAGUUUAACUGGGGCGGUUGCCUCCUAAAAUGUAACGGAGGCGCCCAAAGGUUCCCUCAGCCUGGAUGGCAAUCAGGUGUUGAGUGUAAGUGCACAAGGGAGCUUGACUGUGAGACGUACAUGUCGAGCAGGGACGAAAGUCGGGACUAGUGAUCCGGCACCGGCAAGUGGAAGCGGUGUCGCUCAACGGAUAAAAGGUACCCCGGGGAUAACAGGCUGAUCUUCCCCAAGAGUCCAUAUCGACGGGAUGGUUUGGCACCUCGAUGUCGGCUCGUCGCAUCCUGGGGCUGGAGUAGGUCCCAAGGGUUGGGCUGUUCGCCCAUUAAAGCGGCACGCGAGCUGGGUUUAGAACGUCGUGAGACAGUUCGGUCUCUAUCCGCCGCGCGCGUCUAGAAACUUGAAGAAACCUGUCCCUAGUACGAGAGGACCGGGACGGACGAACCUCUGGUGUGCCAGUUGUUCCGCCAGGAGCACUGCUGGUUAGCUACGUUCGGAAGGGAUAACCGCUGAAAGCAUCUAAGCGGGAAGCCUGUUCCAAGAUGAGGUUUCUCACUCACCCUUUGGGUGGGGUAAGGCCCCCUACAGACUAUGGGGUUGAUAGGCCAGAACUGUAAGCACAGUAAUGUGUUCAGGUGACUGGUACUAAUAGGCCGAGGACUUACC